rnacentral:rRNA from 1 species
UAACGCGAAGAACCUUACCAAGGCUUGACAUGAACCGGAAAGACCUGGAAACAGGUGCCCCGCUUGCGGUCGGUUUACAGGUGGUGCAUGGUUGUCGUCAGCUCGUGUCGUGAGAUGUUGGGUUAAGUCCCGCAACGAGCGCAACCCUCGUUCUAUGUUGCCAGCGCGUUAUGGCGGGGACUCAUAGGAGACUGCCGGGGUCAACUCGGAGGAAGGUGGGGACGACGUCAAAUCAUCAUGCCCCUUAUGUCUUGGGCUUCACGCAUGCUACAAUGGCCGGUACAAAGGGUUGCGAUACUGUGAGGUGGAGCUAAUCCCAAAAAGCCGGUCUCAGUUCGGAUUGGGGUCUGCAACUCGACCCCAUGAAGUCGGAGUCGCUAGUAAUCGCAGAUCAGCAACGCUGCGGUGAAUACGUUCCCGGGUCUUGUACACACCGA